rnacentral:misc_RNA from 1 species
UUAAGUAUGAAAAAUCAGAGCAGAAAAAAACUUUUUAUACGACUAACAUAGGAAUAAAUUGUGCUUACAAAUGUACAAAAUGUAACUUACUUGACAUUAAUCAAAAAAUCUAUUUUAACUAUUACGGCGCCUAAUAGGCGCUGCAGUGGCGCUUCCAAAGAGAAGCGUUCCAGUAGCGCGACUGUGGCGCAGCAGACGUGCGUCUGUAAUGCUUUGGCAAAUUCUAGUGAUGUUCGUCAGUUACGCAAUGGAUUCCGACCGAAUGUGCUUCUAGAAGUUUUAUGAAAACUAGUAGUGGCAGUGCUUCUUCACGGCUCUAAUUUGAUGGCCUUAUGUUUCUUUAUUUAUUUAUUAAAUUUACAAGUUUAUUAUUCGUAAAGUACAGUGAAAGCUCCUCACAAUAUUCUUACUACCGGUAGCAAGGGAGCCAUUUGAGGAGGAACAGUGCGGUUGCAGGAGCGGAACCCGCUCUUGUAACUCUCUACUGGAUGUGGUGGGCCUGUGUGCACAGCUGCCUGACUCCGACAGGGCGGCGUCUGGACACCCACCGAUUUCAAUCCAUUCCUGCAAUCUGAAUAAUUAAACACACCGUUAAAAAAUAUCAUACUGAUUGAUUGUUAGGGCAUGACAUAGCAUCCGUUUAUUUGGGAUUUGUUUAUUCUCUAUGCAAUUUUAAUUUUAUUAUAUUCUACACUCAGUAAAGGACAAUCUUAUAGUUAAAUAGAUCACUAAAGUUAAAAAUUAUAGUAUUAAGAUGUUAGUUAUUGGACCUUUAUUCAUAUAUAUCAUUAGUUAGUUAUACAUAUACUUAUUAUCUUCUUAAACCGCACCUGGUAAUUAUUUAUUUGUGUUGUUGAAUCCCACGACACAGGAAUUGCCUACUGUGGGAAUCACUGUUUCUUCUAUGUAAUGUGUAUCUUUACAGUUAAAUAAACUAUUUUUUGUUUUCUUUUUUUUUGCUUUUUUGUUUUAAGUUAUCAACCCUGUAAACUGAAGGCCCGACUCGAAACAAAACUCAACUUCCCUUUGUUAAUGAAUAAUGAAUGAUGUUACAGGAAUUUUCCUGAAGUGCUCAGACAGAAAUUUGAAUACCAAAAUAGAGUGCGUCACAUCCAUAUCUAUACUAAUACUAAUGUA